rnacentral:rRNA from 1 species
UACAGAGGGUGCGAGCGUUGUUCGGAAUUAUUGGGCGUAAAGGGCGCGUAGGCGGUGCGGUAAGUCACCUGUGAAAUCUCCUGGCUCAACUGGGAGCUUGCAGGCGAAACUGCCGUGCUGGAGUGUGGGAGAGGUGCGUGGAAUUCCUGGUGUAGCGGUGAAAUGCGUAGAUAUCAGGAGGAACACCUGUGGCGAAAGCGGCGCACUGGACCACAACUGACGCUGAUGCACGAAAGCUAGGGGAGCAAACAGG